GAUGAAGAACGUAGCGAAAUGCGAUAAGUAAUGCGAAUUGCAGAAUUCAGUGAGUCAUCGAAUCUUUGAACGCACAUUGCGCCCUGUGGUAUUCCGCAGGGCAUGCCUGUUCGAGCGUCAUUUCAACCCUCAAGCUCUGCUUGGUGUUGGGCCCUGCCCGCUGCGGCCGGCCCUAAAGACAGUGGCGGUGCCGCCUGGCCCUGAGCGUAGUACAUCUCUCGCUCCAGUGCCCGGUGGUAGCCUGCCAGAACCCCAACUCUCGUGGUUGACCUCGGAUCAGGUAGGGAUACCCGCUGAACUUAAGCAUAUCAAUAAGCAGGA
rnacentral:misc_RNA from 1 species